GACACAAUAAUAAAAAUCAUGUGGCAUAGACAAUAUCUGACACAAUUGACAAUGAUGUUGUUUGGAGUUUCAACACUUGAGCUAAUACUUGCAUGCAAAUCAAAGAGGAGGAACAAUGAUUUUGUUCAUUGAAAGAUAAAAACAAUAUUAGGAUUGCAUGUAAUUAAUAAAUUCAACAGCGGAGUGGAUAGAAAUCCUACAGCUGUGAUCUUGUCUCUAUUUAUAUUACACAAAAUGCAAAAAAGUAUCAAUUUAAGAUGCAACACUUUGAGAAAAUAAAAU
rnacentral:lncRNA from 1 species